GAAUUUUGUAAAGCUCCAGCUGACAUUUUGCAUGGGAAAUACACACGCUUGGUUGUUAGGAGUGGGGAGGAAUAAAACAGCUUUCAACGGGGGCAGAAGAAGCUGCCCUGAGCCCCUGUUAUUCCUACCCCCACCUCCUCCCUGGGCUCAACCCGUCUCUGCGGCUCAGCCCAGACGACCCCUGAUCCAUGAUGCACACCCCCAAGGGGAGGCCGCUGGAGGGGUGUGUGCAUGAUGCUACCACCCCAUUUCGGGGAGUCUCUCCCUGGGAUUGCUGACACCUUUCCCAUCCCUUUGGGUCUCGCCUACUGCCCUGGUGAUGCCUUGCAUGGUUCCCUCCAGUCCCCCCAGCCCCUGUGUCCCAUGCGCCCCACGCCAGCAUCCCUGCCCCACAUGGGCACAGCAGAUCCAGGCCAGCACCGUCCCUAGAGAACCCACCAUUGGUAAACACGGUGCCGUUGCCACAGGUUCCUGGAGGAGGAGUCGUGUGCGGGGGAGCCCCGGCAGUACCGCGUGUGCAAGCGACACGAGUGUCCGGCCAGCGCGGUGCCCUUCCGGGCCAUGCAGUGCUCCCUGUACGACGGGAAACCCAUCCUGGGCAGCCAGGCCAGGUACCGGUGGGUUCCUUUUCACGGAGCACCCAACCUCUGUGACCUGAACUGCCUGGCCGUGGGGCACAAUUUCUACUACACCUUCGGCCGGGUGCUGGACGGGACCCGCUGCAGCCUGCCCUCCCCGGGGUUCUGCAUCAGCGGCCAAUGCCUGGUAGGUCCCACUGCUGCUGCGGGACAUGGGGCGUGUGGGAGACCGGGCCUGGUACCCAAGGGGCUGACAUCGCCAUGGCGACGAGGGAUGCUUGCGA